GAUGAAGAACGCAGCGAAAUGCGAUAAGUAGUGUGAAUUGCAGAAUUCAGUAAAUCAUCGAAUCUUUGAACGCACAUUGCGCCCCUUGGUAUUCCAUGGGGCAUGCCUGUUCGAGCGUCAUUUGUACCUUCAAGCUUUGCUUGGUGUUGGGUGUUUGUCUCGCCUUUGCGUGUAGACUCGCCUUAAAAUAAUUGGCAGCCGGCGUAUUGAUUUCGGAGCGCAGUACAUCUCGCGCUUUGCACUCAUAACGACAGCGUCCAAAAGUACAUUUUACACUCUUGACCUCGGAUCAGGUAGGGAUACCCGCUGAACUUAAGCAUAUCAAUAAGCGGAGGA
rnacentral:misc_RNA from 1 species